rnacentral:rRNA from 1 species
GACGAACGCUGGCGGCGUGCUUAACACAUGCAAGUCGAACGGUGAACCUCUUCGGAGGGGAUCAGUGGCGAACGGGUGAGUAACACGUGGGCAACCUGCCCCCGGCUCUGGGAUAACUCCAAGAAAUUGGGGCUAAUACCGUAUGUUCACCGCUUCCCGCAUGGGUGGUGGUUAAAAGGGUUUCCGGCUGGGGAUGGGCCCGCGGCCUAUCAGCUUGUUGGUGAGGUAUUGGCCUACCAAGGCGACGACGGGUAGCCGGCCUGAGAGGGUGACCGGCCACACGGGGACUGAGACACGGCCCAGACUCCUACGGGAGGCAGCAGUGGGGAAUAUUGCGCAAUGGGCGGAAGCCUGACGCAGCGACGCCGCGUGGGGGAUGACGGCCUUCGGGUUGUAAACCUCUUUCAGCAGGGACGAAGCGCAAGUGACGGUACCUGCAGAAGAAGCACCGGCCAACUACGUG